AAAACAAAAGCACAGUGUAAUAUGUCUUUAAAUGGAACAUGGAGUUGUUGCAGCAUUUGUUCAUACCAGCAUGCAUGUAAAAUAAAUGCGUCCACUUUUGUACUGGCAUGCCAUGUGCAGAAAUUGUUAGUAUUAUUGUUUCCUGUUUUGCACUUAUUGGUUUAUUGAUAAUACUGAUAAUAGUGUUUUGUUAGUUUACUGAAAAUCAGUCUUUUUUUUCAGGUUAAACUAUUGCGCUCAACUUUACACACACACCUACCAGACAUUUUAUGACCAGAUAGUGUGACCAGUUGAACGAACAAACAGACGAGGGGACAUUUUUGCUAGCUCAGUAAUGCUUGCUAGGUUAGUUUUUGCUCAGUCAUUCUUUUUGUAAGUUUCUCUGACUCAAACAGAGGGAAAAAAGACUGUAGGGGAGCACAAUUUUUUUUUUUUUGGCAGGACAACCCACAUCAGCCUUGUGAUUGGAGAGGAUACUGCUUAUGUGUACGUGACCUAAUAUUAGGAGUGCUAUUAAUAUUAAUAUUAGGACUGUUAUUAUUUAAUGGGCAUUGGACAGUUAUUCAUGGGAUGUACUUUGUACAUGUGUAUUGAGUGCAAGAUUAACCUGCGUAGAAAAGAAGCAACAAUGUAAGUUCCCUGAGGCUUUAACAAAAAAAAAGUAUUUUUUGUUGUUGUUAGUCGGACACCCUUGGCAACAUUCCAUGAAGGGAAGCACAACAUAUCUCACAUGGACAUGGACCCAGCCAGAGGCCUCAUGGUCACCUGUGGAAGUGACCGUGUUGUUAAGAUCUGGGACAUGAUGCAACUGGUUGGCUGUAGUAUAGCAACAGGCCUCUCACACUGAGUGAAUGGACAGGACACCUCGCCCACACAUUUUACCCACUGGGAAAACCCUACCAACUCCCACUUUGUCUCUACAGUUCUACUCCUGAACGUGUAUGUGUGUUUUUAGGAGGCUGUCAAAGAUCAACUUAUAAGGUUGGCUGUUUGUAACUAUGAUUUGUAACUAUGAUAAUUGAUCAGCCAUAGCUCAUAAUGUCUUAAUUUGGGAAAAGUCUUUCCCUCUGAGUAGUCAGACAUGAACUGAAGGCAUUACUAAGCACAGUUGUGUGUGUCUUGUUUUUGACAAUGACGCCUGUCGUAACAUGCAUGAUAACUAACUUUUAUAUUUCUAUAUAAUUGAUUUUGUCUGUCAAGGCUCGCUCUAACUCUUGCCUUACACGUGUCUUCAACUCAGGGAAAGCACAAUUAAGCAUAACGAAAUUGUGCUUAAAGAAUCAGUCCAUAUGAUAACUUGUGUUGCCAUGACAUUUAAGACCCUUCUUUCUAUAAGAUGUUUCAGUAAUAGACAAACAUGGUCUUCAUGCUUGAUGUCAGAGAGGGGUCCACAAUAAAUUGGUGGCUUAUUAUUAUUAUAUUGUCAUCAUGAAAUCAAUAUUGAAAUUAUUGAAAAUUACAACCAAUAAUUUAGUGCACAUAUAGUUACUAGUGGUGAAUUCCCUUCGUUUAAACUUGCACAGAUAUAGUAAGUAGUGCAUAGUUCGGUUCGCCCUCUUGACAGGAACAUCACUGCUAAGUGACGCUUACUGCACUUCAUAUAUUGAUUGUAGUGUGAACUUGAUACAAAAAAAUAAAAUGAUUAGUUAUUCAUAUUGGUAUUGAAUGCAAUAAAAUGUUCCUGUAUAGCAUAGAAACGCAUGCAAGAAACAUCAGUGCAUCCCUAAAAUCCAUUUUAUAUGUACCUUGAUUUUGGUUAUUCACAAGGUUCUAUGAAUUAAGAUGAUAAUGAUUCAUUGCUAUGCAAAGCUCUAUUCCUAUACCAUAGAGUGAGCAUUUCUUUGAGAGGUUGGAAAGCUGAAACCUUGGUUUUGAAGGCAUUAUAAGGCAGAGAAUGCUUUUGGAACACUUUGAAAUGACUAUACAUGCCUAGAGCUGUUUAAUAAGAGCUGCCAGUUAAACAUCUCACAUCUUGCCUUCUUUCUCUUUUGCUGUAAUAUCUUGUAGACCUUUGUUUCUGCGUAUGUAUCGGUCACUCUGUUUUGACUUUGUUUUUCUUUCAUUGUCCUCUGCUUUUCUUUGCACUUAUGUGAGUGUGUGCUGUGUGGGUGUGUGUGAGAAGUAUUUCUAACUAUCCCUGUGAAAGCUAAGCACUAGCCUUAUAAUAGGUCUAAAAUGGGCACUGCCAUUUCACUUAUAAAUUCCAUAUAAAUUCAAUCUUCAUUCCAGCAACCUAAUGUAAAUUUUUUUUUUCCCUGUCAUUAUUUGUAGCAUUAGUUUAUGUAACUGGAUGUAGAUCUAGUUAUUGAGUACCCUGAUCUAGCAUGUGCAACAAAAUUUCAUCAGCGGAUGUAACUAUAUCUGGCUGCUUGUUGUGACCUCAUGUAUGUACAUGGCUUGACCUGAAAUGCUGAACAUCAUGACAGUACAUUUUUAUUGUGUAACUGAGAAGAUUGAAGUGCCAGGAAACAUUUUAGGCAUAUUGUGAAGAUAUUUUAAAUUUGUUUACAAACAGCAGAAAAAUAAUAUUCCUCUUUUGCUGCAUCCAUCUGUCAGCAAGGAGUGGGAGUACUGUUAAAUGGCAUAGUUUACGUUCAGAGUUUAGGAAGUGUGUUCGAUGGAAUGAUUUCUACCAUCUAAAGUGGAAAAUCUAACCUACACAGAUGCAGAAUUUAUACUUUAAUAAAAUUUUCUUUCAAACCAAACCACCAAGAUGAAAAGCUCUUCAGUGAGAAAUCUGAUUGUGUUGCUGCAAAGAAAAUCAACUUUUUAACGUUUUAAUAUAUAUAUUUUUUUAAACACACUGCCACAUGUGGGAUGUUGCAGUUGCAUUGUUGUAUGUUGUAAUGCUCCACAUGUAGUAAAAAAAUGAGAACUACUCCCUCACAAAUUGUAAUAUUUCAGCCCUGAAUUGAGGCCAUAUGAAAUAUUAAGGGCUGGUUAUCUGAACAAAUUCAGUGGUUUCUGCUGAUGUUAAAUUUUCAAUGCAGAAUUAUCAUGAACAGGGUAUUUUAGGACAAAGUGUAAUCUUGGACAGAAAACCAUUGCAAUUUUUCUUUAUUUCUUAUUUUCUAAUGUCUUUCAUUUUAUUACUUGGAUUAGUUUCAGUAGUGACAGUAGCAAAAGAAAAAUGAGUUUCUCUGUUGUACAGCUUUAACAUGUAUUUAUACUAUGACUGACUCCUGUUGAUAAUACAAACAGUGACUUGAGUCUCCCAGUGGCUGAGACUUAAAUAAAUAUUAGUCCCCAUCCUAA